rnacentral:rRNA from 1 species
AGGGUAUGGCUGUUCGCCAUUUAAAGUGGUACGCGAGCUGGGUUUAGAACGUCGUGAGACAGUUCGGUCCCUAUCUGCCGUGGGCGCUGGAGAAUUGAGGGGGGCUGCUCCUAGUACGAGAGGACCGGAGUGGACGCAUCACUGGUGUUCGGGUUGUCAUGCCAAUGGCACUGCCCGGUAGCUAAAUGCGGAAGAGAUAAGUGCUGAAAGCAUCUAAGCACGAAACUUGCCCCGAGAUGAGUUCUCCCUGAGACUAUAAGUCUCCUGAAGGAACGUUGAAGACGACGACGUUGAUAGGCCGGGUGUGUAAGCGCAGCGAUGCGUUGAGCUAACCGGUACUAAUGAACCGUGAGGCUUAACCUUAC